UUGGAGGACUUCUGGGUGAGAGCCAGGAA
rnacentral:piRNA from 1 species